UGGGGAAUAUUGCACAAUGGGCGAAAGCCUGAUGCAGCAACGCCGCGUGAGCGAUGAAGGCCUUUGGGUCGUAAAGCUCUGUCCUAGGGGAAGAAUAAAUGACGGUACCCUUGGAGGAAGCCCCGGCUAACUACGUGCCAGCAGCCGCGGUAAUACGUAGGGGGCAAGCGUUAUCCGGAAUUAUUGGGCGUAAAGAGUGCGUAGGUGGUUUUGUAAGCGCGGGGUGAAAGGCAAUAGCUCAACUAUUGUAAGCCCUGCGAACUGUGAGACUUGAGUGCAGGAGAGGAAAGCGGAAUUCCUAGUGUUGCGGUGAAAUGCGUAGAUAUUAGGAGGAACACCAGUGGCUAAGGCGGCUUUCUGGACUGUAACUGACACUGAGGCACGAAAGCGUGGGGAGCAAACA
rnacentral:rRNA from 1 species